rnacentral:lncRNA from 1 species
CCCAGACCAAAUCCCAAAGGCUCGGGAUCCAUCCUAGACCCAAUCCCAGGUUCAGGAUCUGUCUCAAACCCAACCCCAGGCUCAGGAUCGAUCCCAAACCAAAUCCCAAAGGCUCAAGAUCCAUCCCAGACCCAAUCCCAGGCUCAGGAUCCAUCUCAAACCCAAUCCCAAAGUUUCAGGAUCCAUCCCAAACCCAGUCCCAGGGCUCAGGAUCCAUCCCAAAUCCAUUCCCUGGCUCAAGAUCCACUCCAAAGGCUCAGGCUUCAUCCCAAACCUAAUCCCAGGCUCAGGAUCAAUCCCAAAGGCUCAGGAUCCAUCCCAGACCCAGUCUCAGGCUCAGGAUCCAUCCCAGACCAAAUUCCAAAGGCUCAGGAUCCGUCCUAGACCAAAUCCCAGGCUCAAGAUCCAUCCCAAACCCAACCCCAGGGCUCAGGAUCCAUCCCCGACCCAUUCCCAGGCUCAGGAUCCAUCCCAAAUCCAUUCCCUGGCUCAGGAUCCACUCCAAAGGCUCAGGCUUCAUCCCAAACCUAAUCCCAGGCUCAGGAUCAAUCCCAAAGAAUCAGGAUCCAUCCCAGACCCAUUCCCAGGCUCAGGAUCCAUCCCAAAUCUGAUCCCUAGGCUCAGGAUCCAUCCCAGAGGUUCAGGAUCCAUCCCAAACCCAUCCCCAGGGCUCAGGAUCCAUCCCAAAUCCAUUCCCUGGCUCAGGAUCCACUCCAAAGGCUCAGGCUUCAUCCCAAACCUAAUCCCAGGCUCAGGAUCCACCCUAAAGAAUCAGGAUCCAUCCCAGACCAAAUCCCAAAGGCUCGGGAUCCAUCCUAGCCCCAAUCCCAGGUUCAGGAUCUGUCUCAAAUCCAACCCCAGGCUCAGGAUCGAUCCCAAACCAAAUCCCAAGCUCAAGAUCCAUCCCAGACCCAAUUCCAGGCUCAGGAUCCAUCUCAAAUCUGAUCCCUGGCUCAGGAUCCAUCCCAGAGGUUCAGGAUCCAUCCCAAACCCAAUCCCAGGACUCAGGAUCCAUCUCAAAACCAAUCCCAAAGGCUCAGGAUCCAUUCCAAAGUUUCAGGAUCCAUCCCAGACCCAUUCCCAGGCUCAGGAUCCAUCCCAAACCCAUUCCCUGGCUCAAGAUCCACUCCAAAGGCUCAGGCUUCAUCCCAAACCUAAUCCCAGGCUCAGGAUCAAUCCCAAAGGAUCAGGAUCCAUCCAGGACCCAGUCUCAGGCUCAGGAUCCAUCCCAGACCAAAUCCCAAAGGCUCGGGAUCCAUCCUAGACCCAAUCCCAGGUUCAGGAUCUGUCUCAAACCCAACCCCAGGCUCAGGAUCAAUCCCAAAAUCAAAUCCCAGGCUCAAGAUCCAUCCUAGACCCAAUCCCAGGCUCAGGAUCCAUCUCAAACCCAAUCCCAAAGGCUCAGGAUCCAUUCCAAAGUUUCAGGAUCCAUCCCAAAUCCAUUCCCAGGGCUCAGGAUCCAUCCCAAAGGCUCAGGAUCCAACCCAGACCCAUUCCCAGGCUCAGGAUCCAUCUCAAACCCAAUCCCAAAGUUUCAGGAUCCAUCCCAAAUCCAUCCCCAGUGCUCGGAACCAUUCCCAGGGCUCAGGAUCCAUCUUAAACCCAAUCCCAGGCUCAGGAUCCAUCCCAAAGUUUCAGGAUCCAUCCCAAACCCAAUCCCAGGUUCAGGAUCCAAAAUCAGGGCUCAGAACCAUCCCAAAUCCAUUCAUAUAAAAGUUUAUAAUAA